GUUUUAGGGUGCUAAAAAUCAUGUUUGAAAAACCCAAAGUCAGUGUGUCUUUCAGUGUGUUUUUCUUGUGUUUCUGUAACCACAUGCAAACAGUAGUGUUGUUGUGACCUCUAAAGUAAUACGUUUAAAAUAAUUCACAGUCUGAUUUCCACAAUUGUAAAACAAUUGAAAUUGAAAGCAAAGAGAUUUGAUCCGAGCCUGAAACUAAAAAAACAAAAACUAAAAGCAUGAAUCACACAAAAACAUAUGAGAUGUGUGGAGAGAAAGAUACAAGAGGCAGCAGAAUGACUGCAUUAGAAAAGAAAAAAAAAACAUGAAAACAUAAAAAGUCACACAAUUAACCUCUAAAACCUUUUAAACAUCCACUUGACUGUUUUGUGCUCAGUCUGAGCUGUUUUGCAGUAUGGAUGUUGUUCAUCUCCUGAAAGCAAUGACCUCUUCUGACAUUUAUUAUGUGCUAACUAAACAUUUUAGCAUGUUGAAAAAAUUUCAAUUAAAAUGCAUUUAUGUUUUGUCUCAGUUGUCAGUAGUCAGUUGUUCCGCACGUGGCAGCCAGACGUAAAUCUGACUCCAUUUUGUUGCCAGAUGUUGAAAUUUCAGACAACAUGAUUAGACAGGUCAGUAUUGCUGCUGAUACGUCUCUCCUCCCUCCUUCAGAUCUUCUCUGCUAAAGUUUUUUUCCAAACCCUUUCCUUCACCUCUCACUGUACUUCAUCAUCAUCAUCAGGUUUAUUUUCUUGCUUCUUCGUCCUCUUAGUUUCUCUGUACAGUGUUCUCUGGCUGUCCGGCUAUCAGUGUCCAGAUGAGAGGUAAGAUCUGAGUGGCCUCGAACAUACUUAUCAACCUAUCUUUAUGGUUAAGGUUUUUGCAUUUUUACAGCUCAUAUUUUGCUAAGAAGACACUAAAAUUGAACAUUAGUGAAAGAUAAGACAGCAAAGCACAGUACACAAAGUCAUAAAGUGUCAGGUGUCUAUGAAGGAACCUUAAAGAGAGUUUUUUUUUGAAGUGUGUGUGUGUGUUAAGAGAGAGAAAGAAGAUUUUAAAUGGCCAGUAAUCCACUUUAGUUACCUCAAUGGCUUUCCUGUAUCACUGAAAAUGGUCAGCUAUUGUCAGACAAUCUGGGAAAAGUAAAGAUAAAAGUAAAACAAAAAUCAAAUGCACAACAAUUUCUAAGAAUCAAUUGUGUGUGUACCAUGACCAAAACCUAGAUGAGGACACACAAUUAAUACAUUUUGCUCCUGUUGUCUUACUCAUUUUCAUUAAUAUUUCCAUAUUUUCACUUCACAACAUCAGUAGAAAACAGGACAUCAGAGUUAGAGUGAGAAAGGAAAAGAGCAAACAUAUGAACAGCAUUCAGAUAUUUUAGGAAAUUCUAGUAACUACAGAAUGAUGUUUUCCAGCUAAAUAAUGCUUUAUUAGCAAAAAUGUUUCUCAACCAGAAGAGUCUGUAAACCAGCAACUGAUUUUAAAACUGACUUGUACAGUGUGUGGCAUCCCAAAACCAGAUGCACAAAUAUGACAAAUGUUAGGGAGUGAAAGAUAUGAAGUAAUUUUAACCAGACUGUGUUGAUUAAAUCAUAUUUUUACUAUCACUGACACAUUGCAGCUUUGCUAGUUUGUAUUGUACAGUUAAUUGACUUAUGCCCAAAUAAUAAUGUCUGCAGAGUUUCUACCUUUUCAACAUAUAACAACAUAUUUUCAAAUUUAAAUAUAAUUUUGUUUGAUUCCUGUAACCACGUCAACUCUGUAAGGUUUUAGAUUCUUGACAAUUACAGUUCAGUGUGUGUGUGUGUGUGUGUGUGUGUGUGUGUCUGUGUGGACUAAAUUGAUCAAACUAUGUCAAGCUCAGUGGAAAACCAAAGUAUAGGCAGUAUAAUUCCCAAUGUGUCAUCCAAUCUAAACUCUUAAUUUUAUUUUGAUACGUAUUAAUUGUAGUGAGUGAUCAAAUAAACUUGUAUCAAGUCGGUUUUCUUUUCCCCACAGCACAUUGGUUCUUUUAAAAUCUUUCCACAGUAACAGGAUCAUGAUCAGGGCAGAGCUGCUUUAACUCUUACAGUCAAAACGUGUGUAAUAUUGAGGAUCUUCAACAGAAAUGUAAGAUUAUUCUGCUUUAAUUUGCAAUUUGGAUAUCAGUCAGAUGCAAUAACACACACACACACACACACACACACACACACACACAUCCAAAACAGUGUAACUAAACUCAACAAAAGGACACUGGGGGUUAAAUUGUGACUAUUAAUUUGUGUGUUUCAACUAAUUGAGACACACCUAAAGGUACUGAAAGUUUGUGGACAUUUUUACUUUUUUAAGACACAUUUUCAAAGUCGUGCACAUGUUAACUCCAGAAGCAGUUCAAUUUGAAAAUAAAGUUUGCUGAACUCUUCGUAUCAGAUUGUUUCAACCUUUUUCUGGCCUGUUAUUGUGUUUUAGGUCCUUUUAUUGUCUUGUUAGAGUGGUGCCAAAGAAAAUGGUGAUGAUCAGAGAAUAAGCUGUUCUAGAUUACAGAGAGAACAUUAUCUAUUUCAAACCUAUUCAAUUACUGGUUUCAAUGUAAAUGUAUAAAGGAAAUAUCAAUGUAUCAAUAUCACCACGUUUGCUCAUCUGUGAUCCACAAUAAAAUUGUUGUGAUCAGGGCAGCGCUGCACUAACUUUGACACUCCAAUCUUACAGCUGCUGUUAUGUUGGUGAUGUACAGCAGCAGUUUAAAAUCAUUGAAUGUGUUUGCUUUCAUUUGCAGCUUGAUAUAGGAGUCAGAUGCAUGCAGAGAGAAAAAGGAAAAAACUGUGUAACCAAACACACCUUAAAAUCUAUAUUAUCUGCAUACGAGUGGAAGCACUCAACCAGUAUAUACAGUGAUAUGAUUACAAUUAAAAAAAUAAACUUUUGAUACACUUUUUGCUCAACAAACUCACACCAACUCAAACUGUGUCUGCAUGACCUGGGUCUGCAUGACCUGCAGCUGUACACUCAGCACUCUUUUUUUUUUUUUCUCCAAAUCUAAAUUGGUACGGUAAACAAUUUUAAUGGACUAUAGUGUUUGUGUGUGUGUGUGUGUGUGUGUGUGUGUGUCUGUGUCUGUGUCUGUGUCUGUGUCUGUGUCUGUGUCUGUGUGUUUGUUUCUAAAUGAUACAGAGAGGGAGAGAGAGCCGGGGUAUCGAUGUCUGUAAGGGUUCAUGCAUUUAUGCACUUAUAAACUUUUGGAUGAGUGUGUGUGGUUCUGUAAACGUUUGUCUGUCUGUCACAUUAUGGAGCUUUUUUUUGGACAAACCUGACAUCAUCGAAACGCUCUUUAUUCAUGGGAAGUCAAAAGUUCACUGUUAAAGUUCACAUGAUUCUUUAUUGGAUGAGAAUAAUUUCUCAUUAAGAUCAUCCCAAACCAUCUUUUCUAAUUGUCUCACCACUUCAUAUAGUUCUCUUCAAGUAGAUUGUUUUAAUGUUCAUUACUGAUAUUAGGUUUAAUGAUGUCCUUAUUCUUUAUGCUUUUUCUUUAACUUUAGCUAAAGCUUUGCAAAUACUUUACUUGUAGAAAAAAGGGUAUUUUCCUGGAUACAUUCUCAGAGUGAGUGCUGACUGUGAGUGUUUCAGAUUAAAUGAUUCAAAUUUGUCUGAUUGUGGAAAUUUGAGCAAAAAAAGGGUCGUUUUUUUUUUUUAAACAACUUUUAAUUUAGUCUUUGGACUAAAGAGAAACCUUAACAACAUAAAGUUUAACUCUUCCAGUAGGAUCUGUUUUAACUUCAAUUUCUUGGAUGUUUUAAAAGGCUGGUACUAAUGUUAGUAUUUGUGGGUUAAAGCUGCUGAUUGCUUAGAUUUCCCUUUAAAUGUGAUUGUUUUGAUGUCAACGAAUGUCAAAUAUCAGUUUCCUCCAGCGUCCCAGUCUAACCUCGAUGUUUAUUCAGUCAUUCAACAACAGCAGAUACAUCUCCAUAAGUCACAAAAACCUUUUGAAACCUACACUGAUGACAUUUUUGGAUGUGCUUUAAAGUUUGUUUAUUAAAAUCAAACCUUUAACAGAGAUCACUUUAACUGGCUGAGUCCUUACCUGCUCAACAAAAGCAUUGAAAACUUGCCUGAUUGUGAGUAUUUUAACAAUUGUCAGUGUAUGUAAAAA